rnacentral:rRNA from 1 species
GGUUAAGUUAGAAAGGGCGCACGGUGGAUGCCUUGGCACUAGGAGCCGAAGAAGGACGGGACUAACACCGAUAUGCUUUGGGGAGCUGUACGUAAGCGUUGAUCCAGAGAUUUCCGAAUGGGGGAACCCACUAUCUUUAGUCGGAUAGUAUCCUUACGUGAAUACAUAGCGUGAGGAAGGCAGACCCAGGGAACUGAAACAUCUAAGUACCUGGAGGAAGAGAAAGAAAAAUCGAUUUCCUGAGUAGCGGCGAGCGAAACGGAAAGAGCCCAAACCAAGAAGCUUGCUUCUUGGGGUUGUAGGACACUCUAUACGGAGUUACAAAAGAAAGUUAUAAAUGAAGCGGUCUGGAAAGGCCCGCCAAAGACGGUAACAGCCCGGUAGUUGAAAUGGCUUUCCCUCCAGAGUGGAUCCUGAGUACGGCGGAACACGUGAAAUUCCGUCGGAAUCCGGGAGGACCAUCUCCCAAGGCUAAAUACUCCCUAGUGACCGAUAGUGAACCAGUACCGUGAGGGAAAGGUGAAAAGCACCCCGGAAGGGGAGUGAAACAGUUCCUGAAACCGUGUGCCUACAAGUAGUUAGAGCCCGUUAAUGGGUGAUAGCGUGCCUUUUGUAGAAUGAACCGGCGAGUUACGAUUUGUUGCAAGGUUAAGCGGAAAAAGCGGAGCCGUAGCGAAAGCGAGUCUGAAUAGGGCGCAUAAGUAACAGGUCGUAGACCCGAAACCAGGUGAUCUACCCAUGUCCAGGAUGAAGGUAAGGUAAUACUUACUGGAGGUCCGAACCCACGCACGUUGAAAAGUGCGGGGAUGAGGUGUGGGUAGCGGAGAAAUUCCAAUCGAACUUGGAGAUAGCUGGUUCUCUCCGAAAUAGCUUUAGGGCUAGCCUCGAGGUAAAGAGUCAUGGAGGUAGAGCACUGUUUGGACUAGGGGCCCUUCUCGGGUUACCGAAUUCAGAUAAACUCCGAAUGCCAUGUACUUAUACUCGGGAGUCAGACUGCGAGUGAUAAGAUCCGUAGUCGAAAGGGAAACAGCCCAGACCACCAGUUAAGGUCCCCAAAUAUAUGUUAAGUGGAAAAGGAUGUGGGGUUGCUUAGACAACCAGGAUGUUGGCUUAGAAGCAGCCACCAUUGAAAGAGUGCGUAAUAGCUCACUGGUCGAGUGACCCCGCGCCGAAAAUGUACCGGGGCUAAACAUAUUACCGAAACUGUGGAUGAACCUCUUUAGAGGUUCGUGGUAGGAGAGCGUUCUAAGGGCGGUGAAGUCAGACCGGAAGGACUGGUGGAGCGCUUAGAAGUGAGAAUGCCGGUAUGAGUAGCGAAAGAAGGGUGAGAAUCCCUUCCACCGAAUAUCUAAGGUUUCCUGAGGAAGGCUCGUCCGCUCAGGGUUAGUCGGGACCUAAGCCGAGGCCGAUAGGCGUAGGCGAUGGACAACAGGUAGAGAUUCCUGUACCAGUGCUAAUUGUUUAACCGAUG